rfam:Aspergillus zonatus CBS 506.65 unplaced genomic scaffold ASPZOscaffold_10, whole genome shotgun sequence.
GGUGCUGUAGUCUAGUGGUUAUGAUAAUUCGUUGUGGUGUCCAACAUUCCGAAUUGGCCCCGGUUCGAUUCCGGGCAGCGCCA